CUUCGAUGGUUUGUAGCAGCGCUAUAAAUACCGGCGCGCUAGGGCAUGCUUUCUCUCAUUUUUGCCAUGUUGCGGUGGAAGUGCGAUAGAUCAUAUAAGAAUGAGAAAGUUAGGCGGCUACAUGAAGGUGGCUGAAUAUGGUCUGAAUUUACUCCUGAUGGAGACUUUACAACUACUGUAGCUACGAUGUAACACAAGACCCCAAGAUACCUUGAUCCCAAUGGCUAGUUGUGUUGAGAGGACUAGGUAAAUGAAUGUACAAAGAUUUUAAAGGUCCAUCGAGUUCAUCCUAGUGCGGAGUGAAAACCCUAAACUCUGCAGGACCGUGUCUGUCUAGGACCAGGAAUGAGGAGCCCCGACCUAGAAAAGUCCAGAGACAUGGGACGUCUGAAUGCUGAAUGUUAAUGCUCUGGGUUUUUUUUUUUUUU